AGCACCUACAGAUUCCACAGCGCUUGAUAUAAUCAGGGUUAGCAGCCACCAAGAGACAUAAUGCUGGAUGGCUGACAAGAUUAUGCUUAGUUCUCCAGUUACAAUUUUCCUAGAGGGGAUGGAGAGCUUAGCACUUGCAGAAUGACGGGAGAGACCAGAGACAAAACAUACACUUGUCUCUAGAGAAGGGAUUUACAAGAUCUUUUUCAGCAUUAGCUCAACCAUGAAAAUGAGGCCAAUAUGCUCCUCAGCACGAUCUUCCUAGUCAUAAAAAUCGUAAAAUUCUUUGCAGCAACCAAACUUCUUUUCUUCUUCCGUAGACUGUAAACAACCUGUUCCUCCUCUGAGCACUUCUACAGCUGAAUGUUAUAUAGAUGGAAAUAUUGCAGCAAUUUCAAGCCCAAUAAAAAAACAACAGGGUGGCCACUCAGUCUUCCAAUUCCAUGAAAGAAUAAAUUUUUUUAUAGAAAAAGGGGGGGGAAAAAAUGAACGCAAUUUACACUUGUUUAUCUAAUAUCAACUCCACAAGUUCACAUAUCAAGGGCUUUACUCUGGAGUUGUCACCACACAAAAGGACUUAGGAGCCAUAAGGAAAUCUGCUCUGGUAUGAUCCGCAUCUCAACAAACAUCGCCAUGCCAGGAUCUCCACCCGCCAGGCCGCAUCCUUCAGAGAGCCACAUUGAGAAACAGACAAGUCCUGCUCAUAGAAUACUUACUGCAACAAAUGCGCUGUACAUGGCCGAUAUUUUAUGAGAGUUUAAAGGAACCAGACUACAGUCUGACAUACUUCAGUCAACGCUGCCAGGUCCCCAUAGCCAUUUUAUACUGAGAACAUUUCUAACUAAAGAAAAUGAAGCAGCAGAAUGAAAAAUUCUAUAUCAUAUUCAUCACACAACGGGUCUGUUCUCAACAACCUCACCCCUAUGUGCACCAUGGAAAACAACUCCAACUGUCUAUAAAAAGCAACAUUCAGAUUCAUCCAUGACCCAAGAGUAUUACUUACUAGUAGAGAUUUACAAGGGGAAGGGGAUUUUCAACGUUUAAGAAAGAAAGCUAAUGAAAUA